rnacentral:misc_RNA from 1 species
UUUCCGUAGGUGAACCUGCGGAAGGAUCAUUAAAGAGUAAGGGUCUUCUAGGCCCGACCUCCCAACCCUUUGUUUACCAAACCAUUGUUGCUUCGGCGGGCCCGUCCCAGGACCGCCGGAGGACCGUCAAACGUCCUCUGGCCCGCGCCCGUCGAUGGCCCCUAUCAUUAAACUCUGAACCAAACGUGUCCUGUCUGAGUGAUUAUUAUCAAAAAUUAAAGCAAAACUUUCAACAACGGAUCUUUUGGUUCUG